GUAGGUGGCAAGCGUUGUCCGGAAUUAUUGGGCGUAAAGCGCGCGCAGGUGGUUCUUUAAGUCUGAUGUGAAAGCCCCCGGGCUCAACCGGGGAGGGUCAUUGGAAACUGGGGAACUUGAGUGCAGGAGAGGAAAGUGGAAUUCCACGUGUAGCGGUGAAAUGCGUAGAUAUGUGGAGGAACACCAGUGGCGAAGGCGACUUUCUGGCCUGUAACUGACACUGAGGCGCGAAAGCGUGGGGAGCAAACAGGAUUAGAUACCCUGGUAGUCCACGCCGUAAACGAUGAGUGCUAAGUGUUGGGGGGUUCCGCCCCUCAGUGCUGCAGCUAACGCAUUAAGCACUCCGCCUGGGGAGUACGGUCGCAAAGACUG
rnacentral:rRNA from 1 species